GACGAACGCUGGCGGCGUGCUUAACACAUGCAAGUCGAACGGAAAGGCCCUGCUUUUGUGGGGUGCUCGAGUGGCGAACGGGUGAGUAACACGUGAGUAACCUGCCCUUGACUUUGGGAUAACUUCAGGAAACUGGGGCUAAUACCGGAUAGGAGCUCCUGCUGCAUGGUGGGGGUUGGAAAGUUUCGGCGGUUGGGGAUGGACUCGCGGCUUAUCAGCUUGUUGGUGGGGUAGUGGCUUACCAAGGCUUUGACGGGUAGCCGGCCUGAGAGGGUGACCGGCCACAUUGGGACUGGGAUACGGCCCAGACUCCUACGGGAGGCAGGGGUGGAGAAUAGUGCACGAAGGGCGGAAGGCUGAUGCAGGAACGCCGCGUGCGGGAUGACGGCCUUCGGGUUGUAAACCGCUUGCGCCUGUGACGGAGCGUGAGUGACGGUAAUGGGUAAAGAAGCACCGGCUAACUACGU
rnacentral:rRNA from 1 species